UACAGAGGGGGCAAGCGUUGUUCGGAAUUACUGGGCGUAAAGGGCGCGUAGGCGGCCUGUUAAGUCGGACGUGAAAUCCCUCGGCUCAACCGGGGAACUGCGUCCGAUACUGGCGGGCUUGAAUUCGGGAGAGGGAUGUGGAAUUCCAGGUGUAGCGGUGAAGUGCGUAGAUAUCUGGAGGAACACCGGUGGCGAAGGCGGCAUCCUGGACCGACAUUGACGCUGAGGCGCGAAAGCCAGGGGAGCAAACGGG
rnacentral:rRNA from 1 species